rnacentral:lncRNA from 1 species
CUGCAAGGCAUUUGCACUGUCACCUCUGGGGUUCUUUUUUUUUGUUUUGUUUCUAAUGGACAGAAACCUGCAAGUUAACAUGUAACUUCAAAGUCAGAGCCCUCAUCAAUAGUAGGUAGCACAACCCCUAGAGAAGAUGAUCCCUGGAUGGACUUGUCAGACCAUGUUCCAGUCUAACACUGAGAGGACAUGCAGUCACCCUUUUGCUUUGUUGCUAAGUUUCAGACAAAGGCAGUUCUGUCGUGGUUGAAGCAAGGACGGACGAGGGGUCUGAAGAUCCGCCUCCUUGGCCUUCUUUCUGUCCUCUUAAGACUGCUGCAUGAAACUCCCAGAGCUCCACAGAAUGCAGUUGGAAACUGACAUGGGAAAUCUCGAAGAAUCAUGACAAGAAGCUCCUGUCUGAGGAAAGGUACAGGAGCCAGGAGUGGGAGAGAUGACAUGAAGCCGCAGUGCUGGAUCAGCCUCAGAUGACAGUGAGGGCUGCCUUGUCUCAGGCAGUGGAGAAGAAGAGACGGGUGGGGGAAGGGGAUGGGGCUGAGCUGCUUAGUCCAGAUCGCCCUUCCUCGUCAGCCAUCUGCCCCAGCCCAGAGACCCCAGAGGACGGAGCGUUCAGGCUACCUCUCAGGCUGACUGAGUCAUGCAGCAUAGGCUGCCACGUCUCUGGGCUGGCGGGGCCGUCAUUAUUCCUGGCCUCACUGCAGCUAAAUUGAAGAAACGUUUGGUUUGUGGGCCACGUCAAGGAAUGUGUAAGAGCUGCCACGUUGUCGGGUCUGGGUUAUUGGGCUUUUCCCCUCCUUCAGAGAAGAUUUCCAGGCGUGUGGGUGGGGUUUCAGAAGAAAAUUGAUGCCUGCGUGUGAGUGUUCCCUGGACCUGGACCAGCAGCGGCAAUAUUACAGACCCGGGGGUUGGGGCAGACUGAGCCAAUCUGGUGCCGAGCUCCUCCGACCCUCCCCAGAGCAGCAGGGAGCCCUGCACCGUCAAAGUUAUGGAUACAGAGCCCUGGAAAAAGGCUGAAGGGCUGUGAAACCAAUAGUACAAAUCUUUAACCUUUGGAGAGUGAUUGGCCACAUCAAGAGCCGAAGGUGUUUUCUCAGUGUGGUUUAAUAAAAAGAGCAGUAGGUCGAAGAGUUAGUUAGCUUGAGUCAAGCCCCAGCUCUGCUAUUUAUUGGCCGGGAGACCCAGGCCAGCUCACUUUACCUUUCUGAACCUCAGUUUCUUCUUCAAACGAGGGUGUUGGAGCAAAUAAACAUUCCCCCAAGGAGUUUGUUAGGAAACGAAGUUCUGUGGAAUGCAUUAAAAAUUCAUGAAAAAGAGGACUCUGUGAUAGCUUUAACAGAGUUCAACAGGUUUCUUUUCAGCAGACAUUUUCAGAGCUUUUAAGGUUUCAAGGUGCCUCAGGAAUAUCCACGAGGAAGGUAGUGAGUGCUGCAUUUCACAAACGUGCUUGAACCCAGGGUCCCCCUAUCUUUCUGGAAUAUGUUAUAGGACUAAUAUUUUGUGAAACACACUUUGGAAAAUGUUGAAUUAGAUAAUCUACUUAUAAGAUAGCUGACAUUUAUGAAGUGCUUCAUUCAUGUAGCAGUGGGCCAAAUGCGUUACAUAUAUGAUCUCAUUUAAUCCUCACAAGCACCUCACAAGAACUUUACACUUGAGGAAGCUGAGGCUGGAGGUUGAUAACAUGCCUCAAGUCUUCUAGAGUUAAAUAACUUUGACCCAGGACCCAAGCCCAGAGUUCUGACUCAAAAACUAGGCCUCCUAAACAUCCUCUUAUAUUUGCUGACUCCCUAAAAUCUAUGUUCACUUGAAUCUUACACUGACUUUGUACCCAGGAGAGUGAAAUAUUUUAAUCAUGCUCAUUUUACAGAUAAGAACACUCAGGUUUGGAAAGGAAAAGUGAGCUGCUUAAGGUCAGAGUAUAAGCAGGGCCUCAGGGCACAGGUCCUACUAAGGGAAGAACCCAAAUCAGAACUCAAAUGAGUGCUUCUUUCUCCUCGGGUGAUGCUAUGGUUGGAACAUGUACCCCUAAAAGCAUGUGUUGAAAACUUAAUCCUCAAUGCAGCAGUGUUGGGAGGUGGGGCCUAUCGGGAGAUGCUUAGGUCAUGAGGGCUCUGCCCUUACGAGUUGAUUAACAUCAAUUAGGGUUUGAGGUUGCAAGUUCUAUCUCUUGCUCUCUUUCUCUCCCUCUCUUUGCCCUUCUACCAUGGCAUGAUACAGCAUGAAGACCUUUGCCAGAUGCUAGUCCUCAAUCUUGGACUUCCCAGCUCCAGAAUCAUGAGCCAUUAAAUUUCUGUUUAUUAUAAAUCACCCAGUUCCAGGUAUUCUGUUAUAACAACACAAAAACAGACUAAGACCAGUGGGUUUGUGUCAACAUGUCAACAUGAAAAGGUGCAGCCAACGCAUUAUUAACAUUUGUCACCUCAGUGGAGAGGGAGCCUCUGUGAGAAGGCGGUGCCUUGGUAAACUCUUACUGGGACCCUGGGUGGAGGCAGUGGGUGCAGUGGAAAGAGUCUUGACUGUUAAGAGUUUGGGAGCUUUCAUUUCAGCCCCACCAUGGGCCAACUGUGUGACUUUGGGCAAGUCUGUCUGUCUGCCCGCCCAAGCCCAAAAUGGGCUUAGUGAAUCCUGACCUUUCUACUUUGUAGACUAAAUGUGCCACUCAAUAAGAUUAGGGUGAUAAAAGUCCUUUGUGGGCCAGACACGGUAGCUCACGCCUGUAAUCCCAGUACUUUGGGAGGCUGAGGUGGGCAGAUCACUAGGUUAGGAGUUCAAGACUAGCCUGGCCAACUUGGUGAAACCCUGCCUCUACUAAAAAAUACAAAAAAUUAGCCAGGCCUGGUGGCACACGCCUGUAAUCCUAGCUACUCAGGAGGCUGAGGCAGGAGAAUUGCUUGAACCCAGGAGGUGGAGGAUGCAGUGAGCCAAGAUUGUGCGACUAUGCUCCAGCCUGGGUGACAGAACGAGACUCCGUCUCAGAAAAAAAAAAAAAAAAAGUCCUUUGUGAGCUACAAAGAGCUAAAGGAGAAACCUUCAACUGCUCAGUGGGUGUGUUGCAAGUGGGGAGGGUGCUGAGGUUAAAUUUCAUCUUCCUCUGUUUGGCCUUGGCCUGGUUGGUGGAUGCUCUGCUUCGGGGACCCAGGGCCAGAUGACAAUGGGUUCUUUGUGCCCUUCAGACAAUGGGAAGGGCUGCCUGGGGAAAGAUACAGUAACAAGGCAACAGGCUGAGUCAGCCUCCAAUGUGCUUGAACCUUCUUAGCUUGGCAGCCUUGACAUUCAGCCAGCCACACAAAGGGUAUAUUUGAGAGUUCUGAUACAUAAUCCCCAUCCCAAAGAGGUCAGCCUGCCCAGUCCCUCCCUCCGGAGAUUUGGAACAGGCCAGAGCUGGCUUCAGCCUGGGAGAGAGAGGCCCCAGGCCUAGCUGUCCACACUGUAACCUUGGGCUCUUUAAACCUCAAUUUUCCCAGCCACACAUGGAAAAUCUGGGAUUGAAUAGGGCUAAAGGGCCCUGUCAGUUCUAAGCUUUGAAAAAAUAGAAGCGAUCCAAUCUGAGCUUGAAGGAUGAAUGGGUUUGGGUUUGGGGCCAGUGGGGGCAGGGAGGCAGCCAUGGCCAGAAGGGCAGAAUGGGCAGUUGAGUACCUGGGGAAGUCAUGGAGAGAGGGCUCUGGAGUGGAGCUACCUGUGUGUGUUCCUGGCUUCUCCACUGUGGGACCUUGACCAAGUGAUUUAGUUCUCAGAACUUUUCUUUACUCAUCUUUAAAAUGAGAAUGGUAAUUGUACCCAUCUAUGGUAGACAAAGUAAUGGCCCCUCCAAAGAUGGACGUGCCCUAAUCCUCAGAACCUAUAAACAGGCUAUCUUACAUGGCAGAGGGGGCUUUGCAGAUUAAUUUAAGGAUUUAAAGGUGGGAAGAUUAUUUUAGGUUAUUUAGGUGGGCCCAAUGUAAUGACAAGGGUUCUUAAAAGUUGAAGGCCAGAGGGUCAAAGUCAGGAAAAGAUGUCAAGGCAGAAGCAGAGUUGGAGUGAUGUGCUUAGAAGACAGAGUGAGGGUUCACAAGCCAAGGAAUGAGGGUGGCCUCUAGAAACUGAAAAAGGUAAGAAAAUAGGCAGGGCACAGUGGCUUAUGCCUGUAAUCCCAGCACUUUGGGAGGCCCAGGCAGGCAGAUCACCUGAGGUCAGGAGUUUGAGACCAGCCUGACCAAAAUGGAGAAACCCUGUCUCUACUAAAAAUACAAAAUUAGCCAGAUGUGGUGGCACAUGCCUGUAAUCCCAGCUACUCUCGAGGCUGAGGCAGGAGAAUUGCUUGAACCCGGGAGGUGGAGGUGGCGGUGCGGCAAGAUUGCACCAUUGCACUCUAGCAUGGGCAUCAAGAGUGAAACUCUGUCUCAAAAAACAAAACAACAACAACAAAAAGGUAAGGAAACAGAUUCUUUCCUCAACAGAUUCAUCCUUCCUCCGGAAGGAACCCAACGACACCUUGAUUUUAGGACUUCUG